CUGAGCCUGGUCAGUAUAUGGAUGGCAAGAUACGCAAGGAAAAUAUAUAAUACUGUGCCAAUUGAUGCCGAUAAACAAGUACCAGAUGAAACCAGGAAAUACAGAAUUACAUGAAAAUUAAACCAAAGUGAACAUCCUGCAGCUCUACCAUCAUGUGCGCUGCUUUAUAUUCCUUGCUAACCAGUACUGAUUGCCAAGAUUUUAUGUGAGAAAUGGGCUUGAGAUGGCUUCUACAGUUUGCAAAGCUCAAAAUGAUUCCCCAAAGAAAAGGAUAAACUUGCAAGGAAGAGCCACAGUUCUACAGAAUAUGUUGUUGCAAAUAUCUUUAGCAGCAGUGGCAAGUUGGACUGGAUUACUUGUAACCCUUGUAUGGCUUCAUGGUUUUGGUUGCACUUGUUUUUAA